UCCUCCUCUCCCGCAUCUCGUCCACCCUGGGAUCCGAGCGCAGAGUCGACCUUCCCCGGCGGCGGCGCUCCAUUCAAUCUGCAAGAGAGAGAGAGAGAGAGAGAGAGAGAGAGAGAGAGAGAGAGACCGAGAGAGAGAGAGGAUGAGAGGGAGAAGAAGGAAAGAGAGGAGGGAGAAAGAGAGAGGAAAUAGGAGAGGGAGGCGUGGCGUCCGAUGGGAGAGGGUCACCGCCGGCGUCCGCCUGCACCGGCGAGGUCGGGUCCUCGAGCCAUGGAGGCACUCGUCAAUGGGCCCUCGCUGUUGGCCUCCCGUGCGCCGCACCGCCCCUCUUGCCGCCUCGGCUCUCUCCUCCCGCCUCGGUAGAUUGGAUCGUGGGUGCUACGCCGCCGUCGCCGACUGGAUUUGCUCCUCCAUCGUCGCCACAAGUGAACUCCACUGUUGUCGCCAGGAAUCCGUCCCCCCUGCUGCAGCCUGCUCGUCUUCCGGUUGCUGCAGUCGGCAUCGCGGCCCUGCAGAGGGCGUUGAAUAGGGUUUGGGUGGGGUUGACUCCUAUAACGAUGGCUGGCUACAUCAACCAGCAGCUGCACCUCCUUCGACUUCCGCAAUAUCGCCCACCGAGCUGUGUUGCUGUACGAAGACCUUCUGUAUUUUGGUGGUGCCAUGGUGUUCCUCUCCAGGUUAACGAGUGUGCUCCCGGCGGCUCCAGUGAUGCGGGGUGAUUGCGCCCGGUCCAUGCUCCGGUGUCUUUGUUGGCUGAGCUGAACAAGCUACAGAGAGUGGCUUCUUUCGAGCUGGUAUAUUGGGAUAUUUAUGCACUCGUUAACGAGUGUGCUCCCGGCGGCUCCAGUGAUGCGGGGUGAUUGCGCCCGGUCCAUGCUCCGGUGUCUUUGUUGGCUGAGCUGAACAAGCUACAGAGAGUGGCUUCUUUCGAGCUGGUAUAUUGGGAUAUUUAUGCACUCGUAGGUCACACCUCAUGAAGCUACUACCGUGCAUUGAUUCUGUCGAGAUUGAUUAAAAUAACAUUUUAUUAGUUUCCUAUUACCAUUUCCCAUGAAACAUGAUGAUUAUGUUCAUGAGGUUCUCAAUUUAAUAGUCUGAAUGCGCAUAUGUUCGAUAUUAAAUUUGAUAACAAAGACCAAUAGUUUUUGGCCCUUUGCAUGGGGUAUUCCUUUCUUUGAGAAACAUUUUUGACUAAAGCUUCUUCGAUGCCCCAUGGACGCUCAGGUUUGCUUUCAUAGAUGCAGCGAAUAUCUAAAAUGUAUUGCAGUUCAUGAGUUAUUUAGCAAUGAUAAAAUGUUCUCUAUCGUUAUUUGCUUUUAGUAUGUAAGUAACAAGCUCCCCGAGUAGUGGUGGAUCUUUAUAUUAGCACUUGACUGAGCAGUUCGACAAUGUUUAUAAUUUAUCGUUGUCAAGUCAGCCUUUGCGUGAUUCAAAAAGAACACACAGACUGCUGCACGGUACUAAAUUAUUUUUUAGCUGGGGUUGUUCAAUAGGAUUUAGAUUUUAAGCAGAAUAGGAUACAGAUCAGCGGUCCAUGUUUACAUACACUGGCAUAAGAAUUUGUUGUGCGGCAAGGAUUUGUACAUAUUUAAAGGGGAAUUAGUAGCUAACAUCUUCGUAACGGCACAUUGUUCCAUGAUUCUUCUUGUAAGAUACUAAGAUCUCUUGAUGAUGCUUUGUUUGAUGUUCUGUGUGGAAGUUAUUUGCAUUGCACUUCACUUCAGAACAUGGAGGCUAAGAGCCUCACCAAUUGGUGCCUAUUUCUUGUGUUUAUGCAAAUGGUAGCCAUUAAUGAAUACCUUGAGCUAUACGACUCCUCUGGCAGACUUCAUAUAGCUAUUGUCUAAUACGCAUUAGUAUAUAUUAUUUAUCAGUCCGGUUGCAAACUUCUCAUGCAAUAACCUUCUUUUUAUCAGUUUAGUUUAACUAUUUUUUAGAAAAGAACAUCCUUACCAAGCCUGCACAUUUUAAGGUCGUGAGGCUUCAGUUUACUCUGUUUGCCUCACUACAGGAGAACAUUCAGGUACUUAUUGAACGGUUUCACCUCUGCUAUUCCCAAGAUAUGCUCAGCCAUUUUGUACUGGCACUCUACUAAUUAUUCUGGCUGUUAUCCAUGUUACUGUCAUUUAUCAUGAUAAAAGUCGACUCACGGCUGUGCCAGGUUAACUUAGUUCAAUUUUGAUAUGCCUAGAGUUCAGAUGUUGGGCUAUAAUUUUGAUAUGCUUUUGGUUAUGUAAUUGCAGAAAAAACAAAUUAUAGCCAUAUUUUGUAGCGAUCAUAUUAUUGUGAUGUUGGUUCUCAAAUUUAUGCGGAGGGCUCAAGAAAGAGACAAGAACUUGUGCUUCAAGCGGCAAAGAUAGCCAGCCUAAAUGAAUCGAAACAAGAACAAGCAUCGGGAAAUUACAGAUGAGGAAGUGCAGCUGGAGUUGGCCAAUAUUGGCAUGAAGCUAUAAAAGCUAGCUGGCUAUGGAGAAUUUUGCCACUGGUGAUGAAUUGCCACCUUUUCCUUGCUUGCCAUCAUGCCAUGAUUCGAAAUUUAGUUGUCAGGCUAGGUAAAGCACGCUGAGACUACCAAAAAGGAUUACGUGCGCUCCCAUCAUGCAUUUGCACCUCUAAACUUAGUUUGUUGACUAAAUUGUGUAGUUCCCUUUUGUCGAAGAAUGUUCUGGACUAGAUAGCCAGCUUGCUGUUGCUGUUUGUAACUUUUCAGUCGGGCUCUUAUGUUAAAGCUUAAACCAUAUAUAUGUAAUGUGUGCGGUGGUUUGUAGGACUUCAUAGGUGUUGUACUAAAAUUCAGUUUUAAUGGAGUUCAGUUCAGUUAUGUUCUAGACUAGAUAUCAUUCAAAAAAUGGCCACACGUGGAUGUAGAGUCAUAAAAGAGUCAGGGAAGAGGGAGGUACCUUGGUAGAUUUCCCAGGGGCAUUGGCAAUGUAAGCGACAGGGCACCCCUCCGCCUGCCUUGCUCAUUCACACUUCUUUUUUGUUUGGGGAGGGGCGGGUUGCAAUCUAGGCCGGGCGGGACACUGGAAACUGUGAGCAAAAAGUUAAUCCGACCUGAGCUCCAAAUGAAAUUAGAUGAUUUUUUUCCAAAACUACUGUAUGAAGCGAAAACAAGUAUGUACAUGAGUCGACCAGACAAUGGACAAAAAUCCGGCCUGAACCGAAAUAAAAAACAGAUGUCUGUUGAUUAGACACUCCCAUAAUACAUGCCAGGAAUGUGUUUUCAUAUUGUUCAUUUUGUGGAUAUUUGAUAUAAGCAUAAUUGUAUCCUGAUAUUUGGCUUGGUACUCCAUUGUAUAGCUAAUAUAACUGAGUUUCAGAGAAGGUCAGACCAUGCCUUGUCUAUACAUAUCUAAUAUAUUUAUCUUGAUAUUGCAGAAGAUUUUGUUUUGUUCUUAUAUCUAAUGCUUGGUCUGUUGUAUAGGCUGAUAUAGGUCUUGCAAUGUGCAUGUCAGAGACAUAAGUUGCUAAAGGAAGCUCCGACAUUAUAAUCUUAGAUGAUGACUUCACAUCUCUUGUAGAAAUUAGAACUGAGGGCCUUUUAAAAUAAGUCCUGCAUAAUAGUGUUGUUCUGUGGGAUGCAGAAUUUUUGUUUGUACUGAUUUACGUACUGAUUUCAUCAUCAUAUGACUACAAUGAAGAUGUGUGUAUAAAUAUUACUAACUGAUGAUACUUCGCAUCAGGGAUUUCAA